AUUCCAAAAAAAUAAAAUUGGUAGUGAAAAUACCGAUUGGAGAUCUUGGAAAAAACCUGCAAGUGCAAGCAAAGCGAUGGGGCAAUGCGCAAGUUGCCUCGACGAAGGCCAAGAGCAAGAGAGGAAGGAGGAAGAAAGAUUGGCCUCCGUCGAAGCUCGCGCCAAAGCUGCUGAAGCCGCUCAGAAAAGGCAAGAAGAAUUUGAAAAAUCUGCUGCAGGAAGGGCUGCACGUGCUCAGUUGGCCGCAAAUGCAAAGCAAUCUGCUAACACUAACAAGGGAGAACCAGUUCUUAAGUGGAGUAUGGGGUGAGGUCGUGCUCUAUUGUCAGCUUCGCUUCUUUUUCGCUGUAAGUGAAAUUUCUAAGCACCUAUUUCUAAUGAAAAGGAAAAAAUUGUAUAUUUAUCCGCGAUCCUGGGCUCCUCUUGUACAAAGCAACUUGUGUAUGCUCCCAAGUCUCCCAAGGCAGAAGUUAUUGAAUGGAACUACAGUCUUGUAUUUGUUAUUCAUGAAUCAAUGAAACCAAAUAAGUGUGCAGACUUAUAUAUUUUUUUACACUGUUCUUCCAUGUAAAUUUUACUCCUUGCUUUGCUCACUUGGUAAAACCUUGUCUAUGAUGAUAUCAUUAUUUUCCAAGAUAUGCCAUUGUGCUCCAUUAGCUGUUAUAUACUUUCUCAUAUCGUGGCAGA